AUGCACAAGCUCCAGCAAUUGGUUUGCUCUUGUUGCAACUCCACUAGGAAAUGGUGUCUUAUGUUGUUUGCCUUGAAUGCAUCCCUUACAAGCAAGAUUCAUGGUAGAAUGGCCAAGGUCUAAGCCAAAAUAUGAUUGCUCGUUUUACUUAUUCCAAAAUUAAUCUAAAGAAAAUAAACUUGUAUAAGGAGAUUCGAACAUAAAAAAUGACUAGUUACUUAAGUGUUUACAUUAGGAUUAUACAAUCAAUUACCUCCUGAAUAUAUCAUCUCUAUUUUCUAUAUCUGAACACACAAAGAAACUAUAAUCUCGUCCUUCAUCUUAUCGGUCUCUUCCUUAUAGCAAUUUAGUCAUACCAAUAAUUGCUAUUUCCACCAAUAUAUUCACCCUCAUAAUCUCCUAUUGUAAUACUCUGCCCUCACAACUUUCAGCACACAAUUACCCUCAUUCUAAUCACUGGAAUUCUUCACUCAGAACUGCCAUUCAUAUUACAUUAUUUCACACAAACAUAGAUUCAUUCUCUUUGCUGAACUACAAUCAGAUUUCAGCAUUCAAUCUUUCUUCUUCUGAGAUAAUACCAAUCACAUUUCCAUUCCAUAAUUCACUUCACAAUAUUUAGAAACUCUCCAUCCUCUUAUUCAAAGAAAAUAACAAACAAAAGAAAAGAGGUAGCACCAAGUUUACCCUGGCUCACAACUAUCACAGCGAUGGCACCUUGAUUAACUUCUACAAUUCUUAUAUACUUUUCCCUGAUUUUUCAGAUUCUAAUCGUAAUUCUGUAAUUAACUACUUUUAAUAACUAAAUCACUCAUCCGUCCUCCCGAAUUUCCUAUUAUAUGGACUAUUAAUAUAUUUUACCAAUAUCUUUCAAAAAUGAAUUAAUAUCUAUUCUACAGGCAUCCACCUUAAUA
rnacentral:lncRNA from 1 species